AUUGAACGCUGGCGGCAGGCUUAACACAUGCAAGUCGAGCGAGCGGCGGACGGGUGAGUAAUGUCUGGGAAACUGCCUGAUGGAGGGGGAUAACUACUGGAAACGGUAGCUAAUACCGCAUACCAUCAGAUGUGCCCAGAUGGGAUUAGCUAGUAGGUGGGGUAAAGGCUCACCUAGGCGACGAUCCCUAGCUGGUCUGAGAGGAUGACCCGCCACACUGGAACCGAGACACGGGCCAGACCCCCACGGGAGGCAAGAGGGGGGAAUAUUGGCAAAAGGGCGCAAGGCUGAUGGAGGCAUGCCGCGUGUAGGAAGAAGGGCUUCGGGUUGUAAAAGACUUUCAGCGGGGAAGCGGUACCCGCAGAAAAAGCAACGGCUAACUACGGGCCAGCAGGCGGGGUAAUAC
rnacentral:rRNA from 1 species